UACAGAGGUAGACUGAGGUUCUUUCCUGUUUGGUAACAGAGGUAGACUGGGGUUCUUUCCUGUUUGGUAAUGUACAGAGGUAGACUGGGGUUCUUUCCUGUUUGGUAAUGUACAGAGGUAGACUGGGGUUCUUUCCUGUUUGGUAAUGUACAGAGGUAGACUGGGGUUCUUUCCUGUUUGGUAAUGUACAGAGGUAGACUGAGGUUCUUUCCUGUUUGGUAACAGAGGUAGACUGAGGUUCUUUCCUGUUUGGUAAUGUACAGAGGUAGACUGGGGUUCUUUCCUGUUUGGUAAUGUACAGAGGUAGACUGAGGUUCUUUCCUGUUUGGUAAUGUACAGAGGUAGACUGAGGUUCUUUCCUGUUUGGUAAUGUACAGAGGUAGACUGGGGUUCUUUCCUGUUUGGUAAUGUACAGAGGUAGACUGGGGUUCUUUCCUGUUCUGUAAUGUACAGAGGUAGACUGGGGUUAUUUCCUGUUUGGUAAUGUACAGAGGUAGACAGGUUCUGUCCUGUUUGGUAAUGUACAGAGGUAGACUGGGGUUCUUUCCUGUUUGGUAAUGUACAGAGGUAGACUGAGGUUCUUUCCUGUUUGGUAAUGUACAGAGGUAGACUGGGGUUCUUUCCUGUUUGGUAAUGUACAGAGGUAGACUGGGGUUCUUUCCUGUUUGGUAAUGUACAGAGGUAGACUGGGGUUCUUUCCUGUUUGGUAAUGUACAGAGGUAGACUGGGGUUAUUUCCUGUUUGGUAAUGUACAGAGGUAGACUGGGGUUAUUUCCUGUUUGGUAAUGUACAGAGGUAGACUGGGGUUCUUUCCUGUUUGGUAAUGUACAGAGGUAGACUGGGGUUCUUUCCUGUUUGGUAAUGUACAGAGGUAGACUGGGGUUCUUUCCUGUUUGGUAAUGUACAGAGGUAGACUGGGGUUCUUUCCUGUUUGGUAAUGUACAGAGGUAGACUGGGGUUCUUUCCUGUUUGGUAAUGUACAGAGGUAGACUGGGGUUCUUUCCUGUUUGGUAAUGUACAGAGGUAGACUGGGGUUCUUUCCUGUUUGGUAAUGUACAGAGGUAGACUGGGGUUAUUUCCUGUUUGGUAAUGUACAGAGGUAGACUGGGGUUCUUUCCUGUUUGGUAAUGUACAGAGGUAGACUGGGGUUCUUUCCUGUUUGGUAAUGUACAGAGGUAGUCUGGGGUUCUUUCCUGUUUGGUAAUGUACAGAGGUAGUCUGGGGUUCUUUCCUGUUUGGUAAUGUACAGAGGUAGACAGGUUCUUUCCUGUUUAGUAAUGUACAGAGGUAGACUGAGGGUCUUUACUGAAGAAUAGUUGGUUGAGGCUCAGUUUUCUGUG